AGUGAUUAAUGCCAAAGCCCCAUUGCCUGUGGAGAGGGUGAUGUUUGACUUCCUGUACAGCUGCAGUUUGUGUGGUGAAGGUGCUCCCACAAUGUGGUUGGGUGGACAUUCAGAUGGUAACCUCAGUAUUUGUAACACCAAACUCUGACAGAAUUACACAAUUCAUAAAGACCUGGAUAUUUGCAUUUAGUUCUGAGAUGUUUAUUAUAGGAAUAUGACCGGCUCCAUUGGACAUCAGGUCAGAAACGGUGAUACUAGAAUAGAUGACACA